CUUUCAACCUGCACUCUCAUUGAAACAAACUGAGUGCAAUUUAAACCAAAUCCAAAUUUCACGCCCCAAAGGGACUCCAGCUCAGUGCACUCUUAACGUGCUCAGGAGAACCCCAAACUUGAUGAAAUCGUAGUUACAGGUAUGUAGCCGUGUUGGUCUGCCGUAUUCAAAACAAAAUUUAAAAAAGUAACUUAGUCUCUACGGUGCUACUGGAAGGAUUUUUUUUAUUUUGAUGAAGUUGGUUCUCCUUGGUGUCGCAUCACAUUCCCCCCGCUAAUAUCAGGUCAUGCCUCACAAAUAUCCUUGCAUUACAGUAUACUUGCUUAAAAAAAACAAAAAAGAAUUACAUGCAAGAACAGAAAUGGCACUGAACUGAAUCAAUUGGGUGGUGAUUUAUUUGGAAUAGCUGUGGAAACAAAUCCUUGAAAAAUAAAAACAACAGGAGAAUAAUAAAAGUAAGAAUAUUUUAAAAUGGAAAUAUAAUUUUUUAAUAAAAAAAUGCAGAGGAGAGAAUGAAUUAAAAUAAUUUUAUGAAUUAAAAUAAUUAAAAUAAUAUUAUGGAAAUAAUAUGGCCAGUGCCCACCUUGCCAAUGACGAAGAUGUUGGUGGCGAAGCUGUUGCCAUUGGUGUCCUUGACGUGGACCACGUCAAAGGAACCGGGGUGCCUCUCGCGGUUGGUGAUUACCCCGAUGCGCCCCAAGUUGGCACCCCCCGUCACCAUGCAGAGGUUGCCUGUCAGAGAGAAGAGGGAGGGAAAGGGUCAGAAGGUGCCUGGGCAACAAUGGUCCUGCGAGGCGGAAUUGGGACUGGCAGGGGGGACAGAUUAGAUAGAUAGAUAGACAGACAGACAUAUGCAUGUAUAUGGAAAUAAUAAAAUAAAACUGCUUCAAAAAAUAUGGGUGCUCUGGGAGCCUCCAGGGCCAGAGGCAGUCUCCCCCCCAUUGGGGAAGGAUUCCGGCGCUCUCGAUGCGCUCACUACCUAUGUCAAACUUGAUGAAGUCGGUGAUCAUGCCCGUCUGCAGGUCGACCUGGACGGUGUCGUUGACCUUGACCAGGGGGUCUGGGUAGUGGAUGGUGCGGGCGUCGUGCGUCACUAGGCGGGGGGUGCCCAUGGUGCCCACCAGGAUACGGCGCACCUUGCACAGCUUGUACUGCCAGGAGGAAUGAGAGAAAUCUGUCCUUUUGUCAAUAUUAAGAAAAGGCUCCCUCAACCUUGCCCCUCUAGAUGUUUUUGAGACUACAAUUCCCAUCACCCCUGACCACUGGUCCUGCUAUCUAGUGAUCAUGGGAGUUGUAGGCCAAAAACAUCUGGAGGGCAGAAGUUGAGGAAGCCUGAUUAAGAGGAUACCAGAAAGGUGAGUCUUUCUGUAAAAACGGUAUUUGAAUCUGGUCUAACUCAUGAGGGAUUUAAAUCACAAAAGCACUCCGAGCACUGAUCAUUCCUUCCUCUGGUUGUCCAUCUUAAGCCAGCAAGGCUGAGUCUUUCGGUAAGAAAAGGAUUCAAAUCGAGUCCCCCAAUUCUCACCUUGGCCUCCUCGGGGCUGAUGCAGUGCACGGCAAAGCGCCCCUUGGUGUCAUAAACCAGGCGGAAGUGCUCGCCCGUCUUCUCGAUGCUGAUCACGUCUGCGGGGAGAGAGGGCGGUCGUUACAGUGGGAUGCCAGUGUGGUGCAACUGUCACGUAAACCCAGUUUUCCGCCCUGCAGAAUGUCCCACCGCUGGAAAUCGAGCAUUUCAAACCCCGCUACUGACACCUAGGGCCUCACCCAUGAAGCCCGCCGGGUAGGUGAUGUCGGUGCGAACCUUGCCAUCAAUCUUUACAAAGCGCUGCAUGCAGAUCUUCUUGACCUCGUCGCCCGUCAGGGCAUAUUUGAGCCGGUUGCGGAGGAAAAUCACGAGCGGGAGGCACUCGCGCAACUUGUGGGGUCCUGUCGACGGGCGCGGCGC